rnacentral:tRNA from 1 species
GGCCUCGUAGCUCAAGUGGCUAGAGCGUUGGCUGUACUAAAGCCUCCCCGUGCGCUUGUGGGUUCGAAUCCCACCGAGCCCG